rnacentral:rRNA from 1 species
CCCGUCACACCAUGGGAGCGGCUUGCUCCAGAAGUCGGUGCGCCAACUCGCAAGAGCGGCAGCCGCCUAAGGAGUGGGUCGUGACUGGGGUG